UUAAGCGACUAAGCGUACACGGUGGAUGCCCUGGCAGUCAGAGGCGAUGAAGGACGUGCUAAUCUGCGAUAAGCGUCGGUAAGGUGAUAUGAACCGUUAUAACCGGCGAUUUCCGAAUGGGGAAACCCAGUGUGAUUCGUCACACUAUCAUUAACUGAAUCCAUAGGUUAAUGAGGCGAACCGGGGGAACUGAAACAUCUAAGUACCCCGAGGAAAAGAAAUCAACCGAGAUUCCCCCAGUAGCGGCGAGCGAACGGGGAGNAGCCCAGAGCCUGAAUCAGUGUGUGUGUUAGUGGAAGCGUCUGGAAAGGCGCGCGAUACAGGGUGACAGCCCCGUACACAAAAAUGCACAUGCUGUGAGCUCGAUGAGUAGGGCGGGACACGUGGUAUCCUGUCUGAAUAUGGGGGGACCAUCCUCCAAGGCUAAAUACUCCUGACUGACCGAUAGUGAACCAGUACCGUGAGGGAAAGGCGAAAAGAACCCCGGCGAGGGGAGUGAAAAAGAACCUGAAACCGUGUACGUACAAGCAGUGGGAGCACGCUUAGGCGUGUGACUGCGUACCUUUUGUAUAAUGGGUCAGCGACUUAUAUUCUGUAGCAAGGUUAACCGAAUAGGGGAGCCGAAGGGAAACCGAGUCUUAACUGGGCGUUAAGUUGCAGGGUAUAGACCCGAAACCCGGUGAUCUAGCCAUGGGCAGGUUGAAGGUUGGGUAACACUAACUGGAGGACCGAACCGACUAAUGUUGAAAAAUUAGCGGAUGACUUGUGGCUGGGGGUGAAAGGCCAAUCAAACCGGGAGAUAGCUGGUUCUCCCCGAAAGCUAUUUAGGUAGCGCCUCGUGAAUUCAUCUCCGGGGGUAGAGCACUGUUUCGGCAAGGGGGUCAUCCCGACUUACCAACCCGAUGCAAACUNNNNNNNNNNNNNNNNNNNNNNNNNNNNNNNNNNNNNNNNNNNNNNNNNNNNNNNNNNNNNNNNNNNNNNNNNNNNNNNNNNNNNNNNNNNNNNNNNNNNNNNNNNNNNNNNNNNNNNNNNNNNGAAGGUGUGCUGUGAGGCAUGCUGGAGGUAUCAGAAGUGCGAAUGCUGACAUAAGUAACGAUAAAGCGGGUGAAAAGCCCGCUCGCCGGAAGACCAAGGGUUCCUGUCCAACGUUAAUCGGGGCAGGGUGAGUCGACCCCUAAGGCGAGGCCGAAAGGCGUAGUCGAUGGGAAACAGGUUAAUAUUCCUGUACUUGGUGUUACUGCGAAGGGGGGACGGAGAAGGCUAUGUUGGCCGGGCGACGGUUGUCCCGGUUUAAGCGUGUAGGCUGGUUUUCCAGGCAAAUCCGGAAAAUCAAGGCUGAGGCGUGAUGACGAGGCACUACGGUGCUGAAGCAACAAAUGCCCUGCUUCCAGGAAAAGCCUCUAAGCAUCAGGUAACAUCAAAUCGUACCCCAAACCGACACAGGUGGUCAGGUAGAGAAUACCAAGGCGCUUGAGAGAACUCGGGUGAAGGAACUAGGCAAAAUGGUGCCGUAACUUCGGGAGAAGGCACGCUGAUAUGUAGGUGAAGUCCCUCGCGGAUGGAGCUGAAAUCAGUCGAAGAUACCAGCUGGCUGCAACUGUUUAUUAAAAACACAGCACUGUGCAAACACGAAAGUGGACGUAUACGGUGUGACGCCUGCCCGGUGCCGGAAGGUUAAUUGAUGGGGUNAGCGCAAGCGAAGCUCUUGAUCGAAGCCCCGGUAAACGGCGGCCGUAACUAUAACGGUCCUAAGGUAGCGAAAUUCCUUGUCGGGUAAGUUCCGACCUGCACGAAUGGCGUAAUGAUGGCCAGGCUGUCUCCACCCGAGACUCAGUGAAAUUGAACUCGCUGUGAAGAUGCAGUGUACCCGCGGCAAGACGGAAAGACCCCGUGAACCUUUACUAUAGCUUGACACUGAACAUUGAGCCUUAAUGUGUAGGAUAGGUGGGAGGCUUUGAAGUGUGGACGCCAGUCUGCAUGGAGCCGACCUUGAAAUACCACCCUUUAAUGUUUGAUGUUCUAACGUUGACCCGUAAUCCGGGUUGCGGACAGUGUCUGGUGGGUAGUUUGACUGGGGCGGUCUCCUCCUAAAGAGUAACGGAGGAGCACGAAGGUUGGCUAAUCCUGGUCGGACAUCAGGAGGUUAGUGCAAUGGCAUAAGCCAGCUUGACUGCGAGCGUGACGGCGCGAGCAGGUGCGAAAGCAGGUCAUAGUGAUCCGGUGGUUCUGAAUGGAAGGGCCAUCGCUCAACGGAUAAAAGGUACUCCGGGGAUAACAGGCUGAUACCGCCCAAGAGUUCAUAUCGACGGCGGUGUUUGGCACCUCGAUGUCGGCUCAUCACAUCCUGGGGCUGAAGUAGGUCCCAAGGGUAUGGCUGUUCGCCAUUUAAAGUGGUACGCGAGCUGGGUUUAGAACGUCGUGAGACAGUUCGGUCCCUAUCUGCCGUGGGCGCUGGAGAAUUGAGGGGGGCUGCUCCUAGUACGAGAGGACCGGAGUGGACGCAUCACUGGUGUUCGGGUUGUCAUGCCAAUGGCACUGCCCGGUAGCUAAAUGCGGAAGAGAUAAGUGCUGAAAGCAUCUAAGCACGAAACUUGCCCCGAGAUGAGUUCUCCCUGACUCCUUGAGAGUCCUGAAGGAACGUUGAAGACGACGACGUUGAUAGGCCGGGUGUGUAAGCGCAGCGAUGCGUUGAGCUAACCGGUACUAAUGAACCGUGAGGCUUAACCUU
rnacentral:rRNA from 1 species